rnacentral:rRNA from 1 species
UACGAAGGGGCCUAGCGUUGCUCGGAAUCACUGGGCGUAAAGCGCACGUAGGCGGCUUUUUAAGUCAGGGGUGAAAUCCUGGAGCUCAACUCCAGAACUGCCUUUGAUACUGAGAAGCUUGAGUCCGGGAGAGGUGAGUGGAACUGCGAGUGUAGAGGUGAAAUUCGUAGAUAUUCGCAAGAGCACCAGUGGCGAAGGCGGCUCACUGGCCCGAUACUGACGCUGAGGUGCGAAAGCGUGGGGAGCAAACAGG